GACCUUCCCCUUGAGGCCGCGAUCGGUAUAGAUGUUAGAGCGAUCACCAUCCAAACAUAAUGACCAUCGUAUUAUUACCUCGAAGGCAGAUCAUGAUCCCUCCGAUUUAUUCGGCCAAUCGUCCAAUCCGGCAUCCCUCCAUUCCACUCGGCAUCUCACGCUGGAUACCCAGGAGCAACAAUCCACGUACUUAUCAUACAACUACAAUAUUUCUUUUCAUGUAGAUAUAAAAUCGUUACUCACGUAAACCAUGCAUGGUGGACAAGAAUCAGGAGAACCCC
rnacentral:lncRNA from 1 species